AUUGAACGCUGGCGGCAUGCCUUACACAUGCAAGUCGAACGGCAGCACGGGUGCUUGCACCUGGUGGCGAGUGGCGAACGGGUGAGUAAUGCAUCGGAACGUGCCCAGUCGUGGGGGAUAACGCAGCGAAAGUUGUGCUAAUACCGCAUACGUCCUGAGGGAGAAAGCGGGGGAUCUUCGGACCUUGUGCGAUUGGAGCGGCCGAUGUCAGAUUAGCUAGUUGGUGAGGUAAAAGCUCACCAAGGCGACGAUCUGUAGCUGGUCUGAGAGGAUGAGCAGCCACCAUGGAACUGGGACACGGGCCAGACUCCUACGGGAGGCGGCAGUGGGGAAUUUUGGACAAUGGGGGCAACCCUGAUCCAGCCAUGCCGCGUGAGUGAAGAAGGCCUUCGGGUUGUAAAGCUCUUUCGGCCGGGAGGAAAUCGCACGGGCUAAUACCCUGUGUGGAUGACGGUACCGGAAUAAGAAGCACCGGCUAACUACGUGCCAGCAGCCGCCGUAAUAC
rnacentral:rRNA from 1 species